rnacentral:tRNA from 1 species
GAGGGUAUGGCUUAGUGGUAGAGUGCAUGCUUAGCAUGCACGAGGUCCUGGGUUCAAUCCCCAGUACCUCCA